rnacentral:rRNA from 1 species
GACAGAGGGUGCAAACGUUGUUCGGAAUUACUGGGCGUAAAGCGCACGUAGGCGGCUUUGUAAGUUAGAGGUGAAAGCCCGGAGCUCAACUCCGGAAUUGCCUUUAAGACUGCAUCGCUUGAAUCAUGGAGAGGUGAGUGGAAUUCCGAGUGUAGAGGUGAAAUUCGUAGAUAUUCGGAAGAACACCAGUGGCGAAGGCGACUCACUGGACAUGUAUUGACGCUGAGGUGCGAAAGCGUGGGGAGCAAACAGG